AAUGUCCUGAAGCUUUGAGACAGAAGGGGUCUUUGAGACAGAAGUUCUUCAGAUUUGUUUUUAAAAGACUGAAGAUCCCUGUUUUAGUUAAAGCUCCAAAGAAAGGAACCGAUGAUGGAGAUAAUUGGAAGGUCUUUGACAGCAACCGGAGUGUUCUAGGGGGAGGCACAAUAUCUGCAAUGCUUGAUCGAAGAUCUGACACCAAGAAACACCUAAAAACAUGUGUAUGAGAAGUAGUUCCCUUGGGGGAAAUGCAAAAAUAGUGAGCCUUUUAUUUUCCUUCCCCUUGUUCCAACAUUUCUCCUGUACCUUUUGCUCUUAGGUUCUGUUUUGGAUUUCUUCUUUGUCCCCCUAAUAAAAUGAAAAACCUUCCUUGCCA